AAAGGUAAAAUUGAGCUGUUGUUUAUAUAAAAUAAAAAGUUAUCGAAGCUAAUAAAAUUUGGUUAAAAACUAGGAUUAGAUACCCUAUUAUUCCAAAUAGAAAUUUAUAAAUCUAAAUUAGUAAUAGAUAUUAUCUUGAAAAUUAAAAAAUUUGGCGGUGAUUUAAUCUUUUUAGAGGAAUUUGUUUCUUAAUCGAUAAUCCACGUAAAAUCUUACUUAAGUUUGUAUACCAUCAUUAUCAGGUAAUUCUUAAAGGAAAAAUUACUGAAUUUAAUUGUUUAUAAAAAUUAGAUCAUGGUGCAGCUUAUGAAUAAGUUGAAAUGAAUUACAAUAAAUUAUUUUAAAAUGGAUUAAUAAUUAUGAAGGAGGAUUUAAUUGUAUAUAAGUUUAAUAAGCUUAUAAGAAAUAAGCACUAAAUCAUGUACAUAUCGCCCGUCGCUUUC
rnacentral:rRNA from 1 species